rnacentral:rRNA from 1 species
UNGACCUCGAAUCAGGUAGGACUACCCGCUGAACUU